rnacentral:rRNA from 1 species
UACGGAGGGUGCAAGCAUUAAUCGGAUUUAUUGGGCGUAAAGGACGCGUAGGCGGAAGAGAAAGUCAGAUGUGAAAUCCCGGGGCUCAACCUCGGAACGGCAUUUGAAACUUCUUUUCUAGAGGGUAGGCGGAGAAAACGGAAUUCCACAAGUAGCGGUGAAAUGCGUAGAUAUGUGGAAGAACACCGGUGGCGAAGGCGGUUUUCUAGCUUAUUCCUGACGCUGAGGCGUGAAAGCAAGGGGAUCAAACAGG